AUCGCCUCCGGCGCCUCCCUCACGUGUCCCCUCUCGCACGACCAGAACCCCAUCGCCUCCGGCGCCUCCCUUCUCUCACGGACAGAACCCAUCCCCUCUCGAUGGAGGGGAUACUACUGUUAGUGACACUGAGGAAUGAAGUGAAGGAGCUGGAUUGCUUGGAGGAAGCUUGAAGUCUGACUUGAUGAUUAGUUGUGUAAUUUGUGUAAUUUCAGAUUUCAGAUUUGAUGAUUAGUUGUUGACUUGUUGGGAAUUUGAUUAUGGAAGGGAUUUCUGCAACUCCGACUUCUAUACCAGCUGAAACUGCAGACUCUAGCAUAGGGACGACCCCCACACCGAGUCCGAGUGCUGCAGUUAUUCAUAGUGAUGUUCCAAUAAUGAUAGAGGGAUUGAUCGGACUAGUGCAUUCUACUAAAGCCUCUUCAAGAACCAGAGAAGAUGACCAAUAUUAUUCUUCAAGCUCUGAAAAUUACUGGACAAAGAGGCAUUAUCAACAAAGGCUGGGGUUGGUAAUUUACAAUCAAAUGAUUCUAUGUACUUAGUGGACAAUUGCCCCCAUGAUGACUCUUCCUCGGAUGCUCUGUUGUGGUCAGGAACGUUACCAUAGCCUGACUCCCAUGUAUUACUGCGGUGCAGCUGCAGCUGUUGGUCUAUGAUAUCACAAGCAUGGAGUCAUUUGUUUUUAGCAAGCUAAGAAGUGGGUUUUUGAAUUGCAAAGACAAGCAAAUCCAACUUUAAUAAUGUUCUUGGCUGGAAACAAGGCUGACUUGGAAGAGAAGAGAAAAGUAGGGACUGAGAAAAGUAGUCCUCAUUUAGGAAGCAAAGAUCUAUCCGGGCAUAAAUGGUUAGGAAGUAGAGACAGUACGUAGUCUGCAGAAGGCAAUCAGAAAACAAGUAGUGAAGUCUUUGACCAUUGCGCAAUAGAUACACUGCUGAUUUCUCAUGGGACAAGUACACUCUUCAUGAAGGACCUUUUGAGGAGGUUGGAGCAAUGUGCUAAACCUUUUAUCAAUGGGGUAGAUUAGUUUAUGCUGAUGUUAACAAACUAUAUUUCAUGGUUUGAUUAUGACUUUCAUCAUUGGGAUAUAUGAUAAUACAUUGGAAGUUAUGUCUUUUUAAAUAA